rnacentral:rRNA from 1 species
AUUGAACGCUGGCGGCAUGCCUUACACAUGCAAGUCGAACGGCAGCACGGGAGCAAUCCUGGUGGCGAGUGGCGAACGGGUGAGUAAUAUAUCGGAACGUGCCCAGUCGUGGGGAUAACGUAGCGAAAGCUACGCUAAUACCGCAUACGAUCUAUGGAUGAAAGCGGGGGAUCGCAAGACCUCGCGCGAUUGGAGCGGCCGAUAUCAGAUUAGGUAGUUGGUGAGGUAAAGGCUCACCAAGCCGACGAUCUGUAGCUGGUCUGAGAGGACGACCAGCCACACUGGGACUGAGACACGGCCCAGACUCCUACGGGAGGCGAGCAGUGGGGGAAUUUUUGGACAAUGGGCGCAAGCCUGAUCCAGCAAUGCCGCGUGCAGGAUGAA